rnacentral:rRNA from 1 species
AACGAACGCUGGCGGCAUGCCUAACACAUGCAAGUCGAACGAGACGUUCGGGCCUAGUGGCGCAAGGGUGCUUAACACCUGGGAACCAGCCCUUGGGUUCGGAAUACCUCCCCGAAAGGGGUGCUCAUACCGGUUAAUGUCUUCGCACAAAAGAUUUAUCGCCUUUGGAUGGGCAUGCGUUGGAUUAGCGAGUUGGUAGUGUAAAAGCCUACCAAGGCGUCGAUGCAUAGCUGGUCGGAGGACAGGAUAAGCCACACUGGAAAUGAGGCACGGCCCAGACUCCGACGCGACGGAGCAGUGGAGAGUAUUAGACAAGGGACGAAGGUCUGAGCCAGCAAAGCCGCGUAAGUGAUGAAGGCCUUAGGAUUGGAAAGCUCUUUUAACCGGGAGGAGAAUGACAGUACCGGGAGAAGAAGCUCCGGCUAACUCCGUG